rnacentral:lncRNA from 1 species
CUGAACAUAAACUAAAUAAUCAUAAAAUUUAAGCAAUUUCUGUAAUUAGGUUAUUUUUUUAUUUCGAUAUUACCUCUAUUUCUCCUAUUAGUUCAACAGAAAAUAAGGACAUUAACAAAAAUGUAUGCUUCUUCCGGAGGCAGAUUGUGAGCUUAAAUGAACGGUGACCCCAUUUUUUAUUUCAUUUUUCUUUUAAGUAUAUGAUAAAGUUUAUUUAUAAAAAGAUAUAGCGAAAUCCUAUAUUAGAAAAAAAAAUGAUGUAUACCCAGGAG